rnacentral:misc_RNA from 1 species
UUUCCGUAGGUGAACCUGCGGAAGGAUCAUUAAAGAGAUCAUGCCCUCACGGGUAGACCUCCCACCCUUUGUUUACAAUACCUUUGUUGCUUUGGCGGGCCCGUUUGGCCCCGCGCAGAACAACCGGCCCCGGCUGGUCAGUGCCCGCCAGAGAACCGAAAACUCUGAAUUAAAUGUCGUCUGAGUACUAUGUAAUAGUUAAAACUUUCAACAACGGAUCUCUUGGUUCUG